UGCAUCGGCCGGGAAUCAUACCCGAGGGCGCCCGCGUGGCAGGCGAGCCUUCUACCACUGAACCAAAAGC